CAACAGGUUGAUAUUCCUGUACUACCGAUAACCGUUUGAGAGAAGGGAUGACACAGUAGGAUAAGCUAAGCACACUGUUGGUUAUGUGUGCCCAAGCAUUGAGGCAGUCAAAGUAGGCAAAUCCGCUUUGAUAAUACUGGGAUGUGAUGGGGAGCGAAAUUUAGUAGCGAAGUAGCUGAUUUCACACUGUCAAGAAAAGUCUCUAUCGAGGUUAAAGGUACCCGUACCGCAAAC
rnacentral:rRNA from 1 species